UUGAAAGCUUUGAAAAGAAGAGUACAUGUCGCCAACAUUUCACAGAGAGCCUGGGAAAGCUGUAAACAGGUAAUGAAGGUAAGAUGGAAGAUGGUCUUUGAGCAGAAUAAGUGAGCAAUAGCAAGCUUAUUACGGGGGUGCCCGUUAUAGCACGACAGUAUGCACCGAUAAGGUAAGUACUGGAUAAGGUUAUAGUUGUGAAACUGUAACAAAUUAAGGUGGUAACACGAAAUUGCGACAGCUUUUCGUCCUUUUG
rnacentral:ncRNA from 1 species